CGUUGACGUCACCCGCAGCCAAUCAGCGAGGCUGGAGCGGAGCAGGGUGAUGUCACCCCGCGGAGCAGCGCGGAGCCGCGGCUCGGGCAGAGGGCGCUGCUCGCGGGGCACAGAGCGACACGAGCCCCACCUGGAGCACCUGGACAGCCCCGCUCCGUCCUGCCCGCUGCUCCGGCUUAACGGAGGAUGAAGGAUGAGCAGCUUUAGGGUUUUGCUGGAGCUUAUGAAAUGGAGGGAGCCGGCAGCCCGCGCGGAUGCCGGGUGUUCGGAAUUAACUCUCUUCUCUCCAGUCACGGUGGAGUUGUUUUACUCUCGUGUCCUUGCUACAGGAAACAACUGCAGACACUUCUGGCAUAGAGGCAUUUUGGCGGCGGUGCUGCUGUUGGCCUCCUGCUAGUAAUCAGUGAGGGGGUACCGCAGGAAGAUGAAGAUGAGGAUGAUGCAGAAGGUGGCAAGGGCUGAGCUGGUGAUGUUGAAAAGCCGGGCUGUCUUGGCGUCUUCCACUGCACCAUUUAAGUCAUUGAGGAGUUUCUUAUCCCGGACCUGAGGCAGAAAAACAAACCAAAAUUAACUGGGAGAUGUACUGUGAUAAUAUGUAAUAAAAUUAUAUAAUAAAAGUGAUAAUGCAUCCCCAGAGA